GGAGCUCUCGUAUCUCAGUCUCUGUAAGUUGCCUUAAUGUUGCCUACCUACUCUAUUGUUAAAUUUUGUAUGCCUCACUUUUGAUUUAUCAGCUAUUCAAGGCAGGAAUUAUGUAAUGUGGCUGGUUUCUGUCAUUUUGUCCAGCCCUGUUAGGCCUGAUGAGAACAUACAGCAGAUCUUCUCUCAUACUGAUGAAGUUGAUUUACAUCUUAAUCCCAGUUGUCGAGGUGCAACAACCAAUCCGAGUGCAACCUGAAGUGACCGGAUACCUUGGCCAUGAUGUUAAAUUGCCGUGUCAGUACAUCAGAGAACACAUAAACGCCACUAUUGUUCAGGUUCAGUGGGAUCGCCUGCUGCCUCAAAAGAAGAGGGAGACCAUUGUUGUUUCUCAUCAUGCCGUUUUUGUCCACGACACUUCUCUAAAGAGGAAACUGCAUCUUGAAAACCAAUCUUUGAUUAUAACUAAUCUGGAUAAAGGGGAUGCAGGAUUGUACUUCUGCAAGAUGUCAAUCUUCCCCAGUGGUUAAUUUGAAGGGUCAACCAACCUAAGUGUCCUCAAAAAGAAGCCGUUUCCACCGGAGGUGGUCACUGCUAUAGUGAUUGUUAUCCUGCUGGUCUUAGUCAUUUUAGCAGUCACAGUCUACCUCAUCAUCAUCAUCAAAAAGAGAUGUGAGGCUUUGAGCGGCUCCCAUGUCCGUGUUGGAUGUGGUCUACUCAACAGUCAAGACCAAGCCUUUCAGAAAUGCUCCUCCUUCGUACACUGGAAAACACAUAGAGACUGAGUAUAAUAGUGAAAUACAUUACUCUGAUGUUGUAGUUUUUUGAAGCCCUGUUUGUUGUGAAAGUGUAGGUACACGGACCCACAACAGGGGGCGCAAUGAACGGACAAUGGAGAAAAGCCCGAAGGUAGGAGACGUCCGUCCUAGUUGAACCGGAACCACCCAGAUCUCCUCUGCC